AAAAAAGCUUGCACACCCUUCCUACCUACCUACAAUUCAUACCUACUCAACAAACUAAAAAAAAUACCACUGGCAGUCUUCUGCAGCACUUUACCCAGAGCAUUUCAACUUUUAUUCCAUUGUACCAACUCAACAACACAACAACUUCAGGCACAAAUUGAACACACCUGCUCUGCACAUCCACUCCUGGAGACACCCCUGAAGCAAAGGGAGCUCCUGCUGCCCUUAUUGCCCUCUUUGCUCUAAUUGAUGCUGGGCACCAGCAGCCUCCAAAUGCCAUCAAAGGAAUAUGGUAGCUGAGAGCAUGGCCUGAUCUGGAGUGCAGGCUGAGACCCUGCAGGACACACCUGCAGUGCUGUUAGACUCAUAGAAGCAAGAGAGGCAACACGAUGUGUUGGUGCUGGGGGACAUCCCCUGCGGGGCCACCACCCUGGCACUGCUAUGCAUGGAGCUUGUUCUUCAGGAGCCUGAGAAACACACUGAGUGCGUUAAACCUCAGCCUUUUUUUAUAAGGAGUCUUGUUUACCCUACAGCAAGCAGAGUGCAGAGGGCUCUGUGCUUUGCCCAGCUCUAUGCAGGUAGGCAUUUGCAUGUGUUGGAAUUAGAAUCACAGAAUAUCCCAAGUUGAAAGGGACACAUAAGGAUCGAGUGCAAAGUGUGCCUCCUAAGCCUUAUUCUUGGUCUCUCUUUCCGUAUGCUGGGGAUGAAGAAGCUUUUUCCACAGUAGACAAUGGAGAAAGGUCCUGGAAAGGGGUGCACCACAUAAUGUCAGUAGCAAAUUGUGGUCUGGAUCCAUUUUCAUGCUUACACAGCAGCAUCCAGCCCAGACCAAAGCGUGCAGGAUAAAAUUGGAGGCAUGAGUGACGCAGAGCUUGGUGGGACAAUUGUGUGUUUGUCCUUGGGAUGAAAGAAGGAAUUCAGUUUGCGCUGUGGCAAAGCCCAGAAAGCACAGUGGGAAGAUUUAAUGGAAGUUUAAUCGUUGAUCUGAUGGGAUUUGCAGGAGGUCCUAUAGGGCACAGGAGGACCACAGCUUCCUGCUUCCAUCCUGAUGGAGCAGUAGAUGCCCACUGUACAGCUCUCCCUCCUGCCUCUGUUUCCCCACCAAAGCAUCCUGGUAAUGCUUCCCAGGUUCUCGUGGGAAGAGUGAGGCUGGGAAGGGGAAGGAAGCUUGGAAUGUCAUCACUGAAUGCUCCAUUUGGACCAUGCAAAGAGCAGGCUGCUGUCACCUCUUCCUCGAGGAGUUUUCCUCCUGCCCAAGGAGCUGCCCGCACUCCAUCCCAAGGUGGAAAAUGCCUGGCAUUGUGUCCAGCCCCUGUUUGAAGUGGGAGAGGAGCUACUUUGAAUAAGCUUUUUAUGGGCCCCAUGGCUCUGCUUGACCAUAAUGUCAGCUUGUAAUUAGCAACAGAUACCACU
ensembl:lncRNA